rnacentral:rRNA from 1 species
CGCUAAGCCUAAAUAUUCCCUGGUGACCGAUAGCGGAUAGUACCGUGAGGGAAUGGUGAAAAGUACCGCGGGAGCGGAGUGAAAUAGUACCUGAAACCGUGUGCCUACAAGCCGUGGGAGCGUCGGAACAAGGCUUGCCUUGUUCUCGUGACUGCGUGCCUUUUGAAGAAUGAGCCUGCGAGUUUGCGGUGUGUUGCGAGGUUAACCCGUGUGGGGAAGCCGUAGCGAAAGCGAGUCCGAACAGGGCGUUUCAGUAGCAUGCUCAAGACCC